rnacentral:rRNA from 1 species
GAUGGACGCUGGCGGCGUGCCUAAUACAUGCAAGUCGAACGCGCAGCGAGAGGUGCUUGCACCUUUCAAGCGAGUGGCGAACGGGUGAGUAACACGUGGAUAACCUGCCUCAAGGCUGGGGAUAACAUUUGGACACAGAUGCUAAUACCGAAUAAAACUUAGUAUCGCAUGAUAUCAAGUUAAAAGGCGCUACGGCGUCACCUAGAGAUGGAUCCGCGGUGCAUUAGUUAGUUGGUGGGGUAAAGGCUUACCAAGACGAUGAUGCAUAGCCGAGUUGAGAGACUGAUCGGCCACAUUGGGACUGAGACACGGCCCAAACUCCUACGGGAGGCUGCAGUAGGGAAUCUUCCACAAUGGGCGCAAGCCUGAUGGAGCAACGCCGCGUGUGUGAUGAAGGCUUUCGGGUCGUAAAGCACUGUUGUAUGGGAAGAAAUGCUAAAAUAGGGAAUGAUUUUAGUUUGACGGUACCAUACCAGAAAGGGACGGCUAAAUACGUGCCAGCCGCCGCUGUAACAC